GUUAAUUUUCCUUGGGUGCAGUACUUGCGUCUGUGGGUGAGUAUGGAUUAUACAAUAUGUAUAUAUUUUAUUUAUUGUUCAUGACUUGGAGAAAUUGGUAAUCUUCAGAUAAGUCUGCGUGAGUAUCCUCAAGGCAUUGGCAAAGCUUGAUAACAAACGGGUUGCCUGUAUGCCAACUCUUUGGCAUUGUUACAAGCAAAAUUUAUUCGUAUUUAGGUCACUUGCCACUUUGAAGGAAAAAUUGCAUAAUCGGUCCCCGACCUAUUACAUAAGUAGCAUUUUUGGUUCCCAACAUAUAGAAAGGAGCAAGUGGAUCCUUACUUGUGUGAAGAACUGAAGUAUUAUUCUUCUUCAUAAUCAUAAUAAUAAUACACUAUAGUUGCAUUCACUAUAGUUGCAUAAUCUGUCCAUAAUGAUGAGAACAAAUGAAUUUCCAUUAAAUCGUCACAAUUGUUACAGAAACAUGCCUCACAUCAAAUUUCUGCACACCAACCUAAGUUGUGAUACAAAACCAAGCUUCAAAACGUUAGACAUGUGAGGCCCAUGUGAAGAUUUCAUGGAGAUUUGGAUGGUUUUCAACAAUGGGACAGAUUGUGCGACUUCAAUGAACUGUUGAGGACCAACUUGUACCUGUUUGGGAUCAAUAGUGCAAUAUUUUCCACUGAGAACAGAAAUUGUAGUUUGCGUCCUCUUUUGCUUCUGUAUCACGUCCCUGUGAUUUGACAUGCAUUUGCUGCUUCUGUCACCUGUUCUUUUGUUCCCCCUUUUUCAUAGUUGGAAAGCACUGAAUACUUUCACCUAGAAGUUAUUAACAAAUAGCAUUUUAUGGUGAACACACUCUUAUGUGAAACAAUAGCACUUUGGGAUGUCAGAAAAUUUUAAUAUGGAUAUUUGAAUGCUUUCUCAAUGUGCUUUGUUUCACUUGAGUGAAUGAUUUUGGAUCUUGUUCAAAGUAUCCUUUCUUUGCAGUCAGAAUGCUUGAUGAGGUUUUAAGGACAUGUUAUUUCUUUACUUGUGUGAAGAACUGAAGUAUUAUUCUUCUUCAUAAUCAUAAUAAUAAUGCUGUACAAUCAUUGAAUUUAUAUACUUACAGAGAACAAAUAAAAUAGGAAACUAUCCUAAAUUAAAUCCCCUUAAUUAAGGGAUUGUGAUAUUCCUUUAAUUAAGGGAUUAUGAUAUCUCCUAAAUUACGAGAUUGUAUACCAUUAAUACAAUGAUUCCCUGAUUUCCUUAUUGGGCAGAUUUUCCCACACUCCUCAAGCUGGUGAAUGAAUGUUAUCCAUUCCAAGCUUGCUAAUCAUCUUUUGAAACAUCAUACCAGUUAGUCCCUUGGUGAGCACAUUCGCAACUUGUCCAUCUGUAGAAACAAAAGGAGUAUAAAUCAGACCACUAUCUAGUUUUUCCUUUAUGAAGUGUCUGUCAACUUCAAUGUGUUUGGUGCGAUCAUGUUGUACAGGGUUAUGUGCUAUGUUGAUGGCUGACUUGUUGUCGCAAUAGAGUUUCAUUGGUUUUUCCCAUUCUACCUUUAAAUAUGCUAGAAUGAUCUUGAGCCACAAUAUUUCACAAAUCCCUAAAGCCAUUGCUCUAAAUUCUGCCUCUACAUUAGACUUUGCUACAACAUUCUGCUUCUUGUUUCUCCACGUCACAAGAUUUUCGGCAAGAAAGGUGCAAUAACCUAGUGUUGAUCUUCGGUCAACUGGUGACCCUGCAUAGUCAGAAUCUGUGUAGGCUUCAAGAUUCAAUUUUUCUCCUUUCUUAAAAAGAAUUCCUUUUCCCGAAGUUCCCUUAAUGUACUGUAAGAUUCUAUUGACCGCUUGAAGGUGUACCUUUUUUGGAUUGUGCAUAAAUUGACUUACAACACUAACUACAUAGGCAAUGUCAGGUCUGGUGUGUGACAGGUAGAUAAGUUUCCCUACCAAUCUUUGAUAAUCACUUUUCUCAAUUAGGGCAUCCUCAGGAGCUUCUCCGAGUUUGUGAUUGAAUUCUAUUGGAGUCUCAACAGGCUUACACCCUAGCUUUCCUGUUUCCUUCAGCAAAUUCAUCACAUGUUUCUGUUGUGAAAUAAAGAUCCCAUGCUGUGAGUGAGCAACUUCAAUCCCAAGAAAGUAUUUCAACCUACCUAGCUCUUUUAUUUCAAACACCUCCUUAAAGCUUCUUUCCCUUUCAUGUCAUUUUUAGUUACCACAAUGUCAUCGACAUAUACUAACAAGGUAGUUACUUCCCCUGACACUGAGUACUUGACAAAUAGAGUAUGAUCUCCUUGGCUUUGUUUAUACCCUAUUGCUAACAUAACUUUAGUGAAUCGCCUAAACCAAGCUCGAGGGGAUUGUUUUAGACCACAUAGGGCUUUCUUUAGUCUGCACACCUUUUUUCCUUGUAGAUUUGAACCAAAGCCAGGAGGAAUUUUCAUGUAGAUUUCUUCAUCAAGAUCUCUAUGUAGAAAUGCAUUCUUGACAUCAUAUUGUUGUAGACUCCACCCAAGGUUAGCUGCUAAGGAUAACAAUAUUCUUACCAUAUUUAUUUUUGCAAUAGGAGCAAAAGCUUCUAGAUAAUUAACUCCAUAAGUUUGAGUAUAUCCCUUAGCUACCAACCUGGCUUUAUAUCUCUCAAGCGAUCCAUCUGCUUUAUACUUAAUAGUGAACACCCAUUUACAUCCUAUUGGUCUCUUUCCUUUGGGUUGUUCCACUAAUUCCUAAGUGUUAUUUUUCUCAAGACCUUCCAUUUCAACUCUCAUAGCAUCUCUCCAUUCCUUAUGACCUAAGGCCUCAAGCAUAGUUUUGGGAAUGAUUAUAGUGUUUAGAUGUGUAAGAAAGGUUUUAUGAUUACGUGAUAAUUUCUCAUAUGACACAAAGUGAGAUAAUGGAUAUAGUGAAUUUUGGGUGCAUUUUCUUGUGCCUUUCCUAAGAGCAAUGGGAAGAUUAUCACUAGCAUCAUGAGAGUUAGAAGUAAUUACCUCAUUCGCAGGAGUAGGUUCAGAAUCUUGAAUUUGCAUAGGUUGAACGAUGGGUACCUUCUUCCUUGAAUAAACCAACAAUGGGCAAGUAGAAAUUUGAACCUGAUUAUCUUUUUCCAAAGUUUGUGUUUCUGAUGUAGGAGUACAAGGUGACUCGGAUUUAGUAGAAAUAGGGGCUGAAACAGAGUUUGGAUUUCUAGAUCUUUGAGGGAUUGGAGGAGAAUAUGAAGGAAUAGGAGAAUCAAGUUCUUGUAAAAAUAAGUCAUUGUCCUUAUCUUCCAUAGAUGUUCUCUCUCCCUGAAGAUAAGGUUGGGGAAAAUAACUAUCUCUUUCAACAAAUGUUACAUUGGCUGACACAUAGAAGUUUCGAGUUGGAGGAUGAUAACACUUGUGUCCUUUUUGAGUAGAUGAGUAUCCUAUAAAAAUACACUUAAGUGCUCAUGGAUCUAACUUUCCCCUGUUAUGAGAGUGUAUAUGGACAGAAGAUACACAGCCAAAGGUUUUUGGGACAAGAUUGUUUGUGGUAUUGAAGUUGUAAAAAUGCUUGGUCAGAACUUGCAUGGGACUUUUGAAACCAAGGACACGAGAGGGCAACCUGUUUAUAAGAUGGGCAGCAGUUAGAACACCUUCGUCCCAAUAAUUUUUCGGAAUGUGUUUUUGAAAUAGAAGGGCUCGGGUAGUGGCUAACAAGUGGCCAUUUUUUCUUUCGGCCACCCCAUAUUGUUGGGGGUAUUGAUACAAGAUAACUCAUGUAUUAUUCCCUCCUUCUGGAAAAAAUGUGAUAGAACUUGAUUGAAGGAAUCUUUAGCAUUGUCUGAUCUGAAUUUUUUUAUCUUGACCCCAAAUUGAAUUUUUACCAUACUAUGAAAUGUGGAAAAUACUGAACUUACAUCAGACUUAUUCUUUAGGAGAAAAAUCCAUGACACACGAGUACAAUCAUCAAUAAAUGAAACAAACCAACGAGCUCCAGAUAUAGUAGGAACAUUAGAAGGCCCCCAGAUAUCACUAUGGAUGAGUGAAAAAGGAACUGAUGUUAUUUUAUUGCUUACAGGAAAGGAAGCACGUUUGUGCUUUGCAAUUUCACAAAUAUUACAAUGAAGACGUUUCUCAUCAAUUCCUUUAAAUAACAAUGGGAACAUAACUUUAAGGAUGCUAAAUGAGGGAUGUCCUAGACGAAGAUGAUAAAGCCAAAUUUUGUCUUCAUUUGAAGUUAAAAAUUCAGAAAACAGUGAUAAAGAUAAGCUAUUCUUAGUUUCAUUUUGCCUGCUUGAUUCUUCAAGAUAAUAAAGUCCAUCUUUCUCCCUAGCAAGUCCAAUCAUCUUCCCCGUUACCUGGUCCUGAAAAACACAAUUUGAGGGAAAGAAAGUUACAGUACAAUUUAAAUCUUUUGUGAGCCUUUGUAUGGACAAGAGAUCAGUGGAUAAUUUUGGAACAUGAAGAACAUUAACAAGUUUCAAAUUUUGGUUUAUUAAAAUACUUUCUUGGCCCGUAACUGCGAUUAAUAUGCCAUCUGCUGUGGCUAUUUUCUUAUUGCUAGGACAUGGAUUAUAAGAGGUAAAUUUGUGUGAUGAAUGGGUCAUAUGAUCUGUAGCCCCUGAAUCAAUGACCUAGGAAUCUGGAAAAGAGGUUAUGCUUGAGACACUAAGGACACGGGGGAGAGGAUGCUUACCUGAGAGUGCUAAAGAACAAGCACCUGAAGUAGCAGACUUUCCCAAGGACCCCAACAAAUUCCUCAGUUUUUGUAUCUCACUUUGACUGAAGUCACUUUGCUCUUGUGGCAUGUCCUCCUCCCCAGGUUGUGAGUAAGUCAUAUGAGCCUGCCCUCUUUGUUGUCCAUCCUUCAUGGUCCAAUUUUUGUUUGACAAUUUCGGCUUUCCAUGAAGCUUCCAACAUCGUUCUAUCCUGUGCCGAGGCCUUCUACAGUAUGUACACCUUAAUUCAUCUUUGUUUGUUGCUUAAGACAUGUUCAAUUCCUCAUUCAUGCUCACGGUUGGUUGGUUUGGACUGGGUUUUUUAAAACCAGUCAUUUUUGAGACCAUAGCUGACACUUCGACGGCCUGUGGUUCCACCAUUACUCCCCUCCGUCCUUCUUCUGCUCUGAUUACCGCAAUAGUCUCAUUUAAUGAGGGCAAAUCAUCCUUUCCAAGAAUUUGGACUCUGACUGGAUCAAACACCAUAUUUAGUCCUGCAAGGAAAUCAUAAAUCCUGUCAUUUUCUUCCAGUCUUUUCACCAUGGCUGCAUCAUCACUGCAUUUCAGUUUAAUACAUUGAUAAUGGUCCAUUUCUUGACACAGAUUUUUCAUGAGAUUGGCAUAUUCUGUGAUAGUACGUUCUCCUUGCUUGGUGGCUGAAAUUUUAAUCUUGAUUUCAUAUAUCUGAGCAGCAUCAUGAACCUUGGAAUAGGUUUGUCCAACGGCAUCCCAAAUCUCCUUUGCAGUGGUUAGGAACAUACAUGAAUUGCUGAUCUCCGGUAGCAUUGGGUUCCAUAGCCAUGUCAUCACCAUAGAGUCCGCCUCAUCCCAAGCAUCAAAUCCAGGAUUUCCUGCUAUAGGCCCUGCACCAAGCGACUCAACAUGCCUUUCCUUUUCAAGAACGUUCUAACCAGCUGUGACCAUUUUAGGUAAUUCUUUCCAUUCAAUUUAUAUGCUGCUUGCAGAUUCUGUAACUCUCCUAAAGAUGAAGCAGGUUUUGUUUCCACAGUCUGCGUCUCAGAGGAGUUAGUGCUGUCAAUGAUUUCUGCCAUGGCCAUUGUGAAGAUCAAGAAAGAGCUGUGGUUAAAUCAAGAACGAGAGUGGCCAAAGGAAGAACAAAGAACUUAAGAUUUUCAAAAUGAUUUAGAGAGAACGAAAAAAAAUCAGCAAUAAAGGCUGAACAAAAUACUGGGCAAUGAAGGCCAACAAGUGAAAAAACAGAGGGUAAUUCCCAGAAGCUUAAAGCUCUGAUACCAUGUGAAGAAUUGAAGUAUUAUUCUUCUUCGUAAUCAUAAUAAUAAUGCUAUACAAUCAUUGAAUUUAUAUACUUACAGAGAACAAAUAAAAUAGAAAACUAUCCUAACAUAAAUCCCCUUAAUUAAGGGAUUGUGAUAUUCCUUUAAUUAAGGGAUUGUGAUAUCUCCUAAAUUACGGGAUUGU
rnacentral:lncRNA from 1 species